UCCCUCUGAUUUUUUAUUCCAUGGAAGGAAGUUUUGUGCCUAUAAUCCUCUCCGCAGUCUUUAUGACUCUUUGCAGAGCUUUCCACUCUGCCUGUG